UGGGUUUGACAUGAUCGUAGUAGUGAACCGAAAGGGGAACGAGCUUAGGCAGCGACCACAGGUGUUGCAUGGCUGUCGUCAGCUCGUGUCGUGAGAUGUUGGGUUAAGUCCCGCAACGAGCGCAACCCUCGUUGCCAGUUAUAUGUGUCUGGCGAGACUGCCGGUAUCAAGCCGGAGGAAGGUGAGGAUGACGUCAAGUCAGCAUGACCUUUAUAUCCAGGGCUACACACACGCUACAAUGGUCGGUACAAUGAGUUGCCAAGUCGUGAGGCGGAGCUAAUCUCAUCAAAACCGGCCUCAGUUCGGAUUGGAGGCUGCAACCCGCCUCCAUGAAGUCGGAGUUGCUAGUAAACGCCGGUCAGCUAUACGGCGUUGAAUACGUUCCCGGGCCU
rnacentral:rRNA from 1 species